rnacentral:lncRNA from 1 species
CUAGUACGCCUGGUAGUGGAUGAUUAAUGACUUGUAGAAUGAGCCCAAAUGCGAGCUUUAUAAUAGCUGUGGAUAUGGAGGACUGCAGAAUUAAGAAGUUUUGUUCUGAACCUCUUGCAAGCUUUUCCGUUUAGAUCCCACUCUUAUACACCCUCCUUCCACUCCACACCCACCUUGUUUUUGUUUUCCCCCCAGAACUACAAGACCGUUUCUCUCACCCCGAGCCCACCGGGAUGACCUGACCUGCAGUGCCCCAAACUUGUCUGUGUGGCAACAGUGUUUGAUGCCACCGUCCAUCAGAGCAGUGCCUUCUCUAGGGACUAAUUCACCAGAGGCUGCAAGAUCGUCCGCAGGAUGUGCCUCACUGGAGUCAAAGAAGUUGCUGAAAAUUGAAAACAGAACCUCCCGGGUCCUUUGAGUGAUCAACCAGCCUUGGGUGACCUGGCCCGUGCCUAGCUCUCCAGCCUCAGCCCUCUCUGACACCCUCCGGCUUGACAUCUUGUGCUUGGGGCCCUGCCCGCAGCCCUGCAGUGGGAAACGUAAGCAGAGCUAUCUGCCUACCUUCCUGCUCUGCGAUAAAGUGGAUGAGGAUCUGGGAGGACUGCCCUUUCAGGGAGAAGCCAGGAGACGCAAGAUUGACACACUUGAAGGGAACUCACAUCCCCAUCAGCCUGGAGCAACUCACCUGGGUCUGUGUGUCCCUCAAGGUCUCAGGCAGAUCCAGACUGUCUAAGGGAUGAGGAGGCUGAACCCAACUGCACCAGCACCUGGACCUUUGCCCAAUGGCAAUGCCCUUGUCUGGGACUCACUGCCUAAAUACAUGGAACAGAAGAGAAGAGAUAUUGUUUUAGCAAAACAUAUGCAUAAAUGAUUUCCUUGAAUUUUGAAUUUAAAAGUUGUGUAGCUAUACUAGAACACAUUUAUUUUAUCCUGGCUAUAUUUUGACAUUUGGUUCCUACUUAACAACAAUAUAUAUUUAAUAAUAUAUAUAUAUAAAACC